rnacentral:ncRNA from 1 species
AUUCCAGAGGUGGCGCACCCAGCGCCACUCCGGCAGCAAGCGAAGGUGUCAUUGGCACCCGUGGUAUGGUCCCCCCGGCUAUACCACGAAUUUUUUUU